rnacentral:lncRNA from 1 species
GUGGGCUGGGGAGAGUUCAAGGAGCAUAGAGGCAAAAUGGGGAAAUGGUAAAGGAAUAAAUCUGUUGCUUACUUUUCAGAAAACCUUCUCAACGAGACUUCAAGGCAUGCGUCACACUUUGCAUUUCUUUUUGCAUUUAAGGAGACCAGAGCUCCACAAAUGGUGCAUGGCCCCACCUGAGAAGCAGGCUGCUGAAAACACUAAACCUCAGAUGCUCCUUCCUGGGGAAAAAGAGCUGCAGGGGAAUUGCAUCCGGAUACACAGUUAUCAUAACUUCUUGAUCUUCCA